UUAUUGAAUUGGGGGGCUGUUUGAACCGGCAUGCCGCGUGCAGGAUGAAGGCCCUAUGGAUUGUAAACUGCUUUUAUCUGGGACGAAACCCUUGAUGUUAUGGGAGCUGGACGGUACUGUAGGAAUAAGGAUGGGUUAAUUCCGUGCCAGGAGCCGGGGUAAUACGGAGGAUCCAGGCGUUAUCCGGAUUCAUUGGGCUUAAAGGGUCCGUAGGGGGUCUUAUAAGUCAGGGGUGAAAGCUUAUCGCUUAACUAUGGAACUGCCAUUGAUACUGUACGACUUGAAUGCUUAGGAGGUAACUGAAAUAUGUAUUGUACCGGUGAAAUGCUUAUAUAUUACAUGGAAUACCAAUUGCGAAAGGCAGGUUACUACUAAUAUGAUUGACGCUGAGGCUACGAAGGCGGUGGCGAGCAGAACAGGAUUACGAUACCCUGGUAGUCCCAGGCCCGUAACCGAUGAUUACUAGACUGUUCCGAUCACUACUGAGUGCGGUCACCGCCAAGCGCCUUGCAUCACCACCUGUGGCAGAACCCCC
rnacentral:rRNA from 1 species